CGAACGGGUGAGUAACGCGUGAGGAACCUGCCUCAAAGAGGGGGACAACAGUUGGAAACGACUGCUAAUACCGCAUAAGCCCACGACCCGGCAUCGAGUAGAGGGAAAAGGAGCAAUCCGCUUUGAGAUGGCCUCGCGUCCGAUUAGCUAGUUGGUGAGGUAAUGGCCCACCAAGGCGACGAUCGGUAGCCGGACUGAGAGGUUGAACGGCCACAUUGGGACUGAGACACGGCCCAG
rnacentral:rRNA from 1 species